rnacentral:rRNA from 1 species
CCUACGGGAGGCAGCAGUGGGGAAUAUUGCACAAUGGGCGGAAGCCUGAUGCAGCAACGCCGCGUGCGGGAUGACGGCCUUCGGGUUGUAAACCGCUUUCGCCUGUGACGAAGCGUGAGUGACGGUAAUGGGUAAAGAAGCACCGGCUAACUACGUGCCAGCAGCCGCGGUGAUACGUAGGGUGCGAGCGUUGUCCGGAUUUAUUGGGCGUAAAGGGCUCGUAGGUGGUUGAUCGCGUCGGAAGUGUAAUCUUGGGGCUUAACCCUGAGCGUGCUUUCGAUACGGGUUGACUUGAGGAAGGUAGGGGAGAAUGGAAUUCCUGGUGGAGCGGUGGAAUGCGCAGAUAUCAGGAGGAACACCAGUGGCGAAGGCGGUUCUCUGGGCCUUUCCUGACGCUGAGGAGCGAAAGCGUGGGGAGCGAACAGGAUUAGAUACCCUGGUAGUC